UGGCGGCGUGGAUUAGGCAUGCGAGUCGUACGAGAACCCGCAAGGGGGAAAGUGGCGAACGGGGUAGUAAGGCGUAGGUGACGUGCCCUGCGGUCGGGGAUAGCUUAGGGAAACUUAAGGUAAUACCCGAUAAUCCCAUGAGGUUUGAAGACCUUUUGGGCAAAGGUGUGAUUCCACCACAGGAGCGGCUUGCGUGGUAUUAGCUAGUUGGUGAGGUAACGGCUCACCAAGGCAACGAUGCCUAGGGGAUGUUAGCGCAUGAUCCCCACCACUGGGACUGAGAUACUGCCCAGACACCUACGGGUGGNUGCAGUCGAGAAUCUUCGGCAAUGGGGGAAACCCUGACCCAGCGACGCCGCGUGUGGGAUGAAGGCCCUUGGGUUGUAAACCAC
rnacentral:rRNA from 1 species